rnacentral:lncRNA from 1 species
AUAGAGACAGAAAGCAGAUUAGUUGUUGUCUGGGGCUGGGGAUAUGAGUGGGGAUUGACUGCCUAAGGAUAGAAAGGAUCUUUUUGGGGUGACAAAAAUGUUCUAAAACUGGGUUGUGGAAAUGAUCACUCUACUCUAAGCUUGCUUAAUCAUUAAAUUGUACACUUACUAGGGUGAAUUUUAUGUUACAUAAUUUUACCUCAGUAAAUUGUUACAAAUGAAAUCAUGUUUAUUAAAACUAAGAAAAGAGAUACUUGGCAGAUAAUUCCUAACCAAAUGACCAAGAUUAACUUCCCUAGUGAUAAGUCAUUUUGAUAUCAUAGAACCUCUGACAUAAUGUUAUAAGAAGAGCACUUCAUUCUUUUGUAUUCUUCUCUAAAACUAUAAUCCCAAUCUAAUUGCAAGGAAACAUCAAGCAAAUCCAAACUGAGAGUUAUUUCACAAAAAUAUCUGACCACUACUCUACAAAACUAUCCAGGUCCUGAAGAAUAAGAAAAAACUGAGAAAUUGUCAUGAAUCAGAGGAGAUUUAAGAGAAAUGGCAACUAAAUGUAAUGUGUGAAGGAAAUAUGGGAAUUCUCUGUACUAGUUUUACAGCUUUUCCAUGUUUGUGAAAUUGUUUCAGAAUGAAAAGUUAAAAUUAAAAAAAGAAAUGGGAGAUGUAUAGAUUAAAGAAGAAUGUGAUUCAGAUGUAAUGGAUGGAUCUUAAUUUAAGAUCCUAAUUUAAACUAACCAGCUGUUAAAAAAGAAAAAAACAUUUUUAAAGUCAAUUAUUUGACAGAAGCAGGAUAUUUCAUAGCAUUAAAUAAAUACUAAUAUUUUAUUUUUUUUGUCUUUAGGGCCACACCCGUGGCAUAUGGAAGUUCCCAGGCUAGGGGUCCAAUUGGAGCUGUAACUGCUGGCCCACACCACAGCAACAGCAACGUCAGAUCCGAGCUGUGUCUGUGGACUACACCACAGCUCAUGGCAACGCUGGAUCCUUAACCCACUGAGCAAGGCCAGGGAUCGAACCUGUGUUCUCAUGGAUACUAGUCAGAUUCGUUUCCACUGAGCUAUCAUGGGAACUCCUCUUAUUUUUGAUGUUGGAUAAUGAUAAUGAUAUUUAUUGUGAUUUUUUAAAAAAAUCAUUAUUUUAAGUAAUACAUACUAAUGUUUUCAUGGAUGGAAUAAUAUAGUAUCUGGGAUUGUCUUUAAAAUGAUCUGGUGGAAGAAAAAGUAGGUGAGAGUAUAAAUGAAGAAAACAUUGACUACAUGGGAGUCAUUUUACUUCUGCUCUCUACUAUUGCAUAUAUGUUUGAAAUUUUUCAUGAUAUUUUUCAAGUAAAAAGGAAAAAAUGACUAAGAAAUAAUUAAAAUACUAUAAUUUGUUCUCUAAGCUGACCACAGAUAGGGCUUGUCUCUUAAAAAUCAAAUCUGAACAAUGUCAGAAUGAAUAAGUCAUAGAAAGGUGAGUGACUUCUCAAACAAUCUGAGCAAGAUACAGUUGAUGCUGAAUAGUUGGGAGAGCAUUAAGAGGACUGCCGGAAUUAGCAUAGACUUCCUAACUGGAAUAAUUUGUUGUUCUUUCCUUGAAGUUCUGUAACCUGAUGAUAUCUAAAACUCCUAUGUAUGCAAGUAUUUUAAAAAGUAGAGUGUAGUUAGAAGCCAUCCUUCGUUCAUAGUCAAUGUUAAGAUCUGUAGUUCCUCACCUCCCUUCAUUUUUCUAUUGUCUGGGGCUUUGUUUUUUUGGCCUUGUGACUUACAGGAUAGGUUCCUGUAAUAUAAUGCAUUUGCUACUUCUCUGGAAAGCCAUUCAGAAUCUUUAACUAAUGCAGAAUGUACAACUCUUUUGCUAAAGGGUCUCUGCCAAGAGAAGCAUUCUUCCGGGCUUUGUAAUUUGCAUUGAUUACUGAGCUGUUUCCCAGUGCCUCACUGGGUGUUGACUAUAUUCUGUGAAGCCUUGCAUAGUUUUGUCUUGAUUAAAGAAGUCUGACAUUGGUGGUCAGUUUUAAUAAUGACUGAGAUUACCUGAAUAAUGAUCUGGAUAACCUGAAGAAAUUUUAACAGAUUUUGGAACCUGAAAUGUCAGGCGCAAGUUAUUCUUAUUGAUGACACAUACUCUGGAAACCCACUAUUUUAAAGGUGGGUUCAGUGUACAGUACUGAACUUGGAAAAAACAGGAAGUUGAAAAGUAGACAAUAGUGCCAUAGGUAAGGUCCUAGUUCUAACUUCUCUGCUCCCUAAUCUAAUCUGACAUGCCUUCAGAAUAUUUCACUUUUUCGAUGACCAAUCUUCCAGUUUCUACCCAAUACUUAACCCCACAACAUAGUAACAGAGUUAAUGAUUUUCUUAUGUGGCAGAUAUGAAUAGGAACAGUAUUCAUAUCAAAGACAACUGGUCCCACUUCCAGGUCCAUCUUUGGGCCAAAAUAUGUAGUCGCCAACAGUGAGUUGGCUACUGUAUUUUUUGAGUCCUGGCGCAAAGUAAGAUCCAUCUGUUUUGCCCAGCCGUUUGCCUGAGCGCCACAAAAUGGUCCUGUUAUUAGUCUUAGUUGUGGUCCUAUUUGAGGUUAGGGGAUAACGUAAAUAAACUUCAGUCCUCCUUGUGAUGAAUGUGACACGGGAAUUAAAAGUGGUGGUUUUGGUACUGGUAAGUGAUGUUGCGUCUCUAUUUUCUCAAUUGCUCUGUUUUCUUUGGAUUGGGAAACAGACAUUUAAGAAUGAGUUUGUCAUCUGGAAGGAAAGUUGUGACCAAGUUUCCCUCAACAGGAUACAAGAUGUUAUUUUUGAGCUUCAUUACCCUCACCAAAGGGAAAAAAAAGAGAGAGAGAGGGAAAAAAUAAAUAAGGAAGAAAGUGAAAGUAAGGAAGAAAUAGGCAGAGACAGAGAAGUGAAGAGAAGGGUCAAAGAAGAGAAAGAGGAGUGACAUGAAAAGAGGAGAAUGUAACUGAGUAGACUUUCUAUUCAUAGAAACUGCUUUAUUAUUUUGAACUAAGAAUUCAAUUCACUCAACAUCUGGUGAAUUAAGGAAAAGGAAAUCUGACUGAUUAAAUUGAACUGCUAGUUGUCAGUUAAGUAGUUUAUAUAUAAAUAUGCAGCCUAGUUUCCAUCACCUUCUCUUGUCUGAAGUAGAAGUGAAUCAGUUUCACUAACCAUAUGUGAUCGGUGAGUAGAACAAUACUAAUUGGUGAUUCAGAUUUAGAUAGAGGUGGGCAGUUUUUAUAUUUCUGAAUCAUUUAUUGGGGAUUAUUGUUAAUUCCAUAUUAUUUCUGAGCAUGAGUUAUUUUUGUCAGUUUCUUUUAUGAAUGUUUUGUUGCCUUAUAAGGAAAUAUGUGCACUCCCCUCCUCUCAUUCAGUUGUCCCUGGUGACGCCUCCAUAAUUUCUGUCUUUAUACUGGUGCAUUUUUAGUCUAAUUCAGGCCUGUGAGAAGCAGGAGAAAAGUUUAGUUAGUCAGUGUCAGUGAUUUUUUUGGGAUCCAUUCAUGGAUAGAUCUAGUGAAUCUGAACCAGUUUAACUUGAAAUCUAUAUCCAUCAAAUAGACACAAUACCUAAAAUAUUCUUCUGUAUACUUCAAGAGCAAAAGAAAAUAGAAUUCACAAAUAAGACCUAGAUGUAUUUUCUAAAAAUAUAUGUGAUUUCAGGGCUGAUUUAUGAUCAUGCUCUCAUAUGUGGAGAUAUUAAGUUACUACCUUGCAUUACUAUGAGGGUGGACAUAAACAUACCACAUUCAAUGCUACAAAUAUUGCCAUGCUGUAAGAAGAAAGAUAAUUGUAUUAUAUCUGUUUUACAGUAAAAAGAUAUAUAUUUUUGUAAAUCCUAUUGUGUCAGUUGUUUGAAGCCAAAAAUAGGGAUGACUUAAUCCAGUCUGCUUUUUUUUUAAACUAUUGUCUUAUUUAUAGAUGGUGUUAUAUGAAGUAAGAAAGGAUUGAUAAAAUUAGUAUGAUGUUUUCAUCCCAAAUAUUUAUGACAUAUUUGGAGAUUUUAAUGCCUGAACUCUUAAUUCAAAGAUUAAAAAUACAUAUUAAAGUGUUUUUACAGUUAUUUAAACCAGGAGGGCUGGUUCAAACCCUGAUGGUUUUCCUGUGCUACUUCAAACAGCAGUGGCUGCAUGUGACAAGCUAUACAAUGUGAUGUGGAAUGGAGCACACUAAACCCAGAAUACCUUGCAGGGGCAUUUUGUAUUGCUAAAUAUGUUUGUUUACCUCUAUUUUGCCAUUUGCCCUACCACCAAUUCAGUCAUUUGAAAGUAGUAGAUCUAACAUUUUUUUCCCAAUUUUAUUUGAAGUUAUAAUUUCCUUUUAACAUUUGUAUUCAGAUCAUAGAUUUUCUUCUUUAUUCUCUGAAAUAACAUUUUAUAUAAUUGUGAGGCUUUGAGAUUGUUUAGGAGGUUUUUUUUUUUUUACUUUUUAAAUCAGAAUAUGACUAAAAUUCAGAAGCUUCUAGUCAUAUCAUUAUAAAGUCCUUAACACGGAGGCAUAUUUUGUUUUUCAGAAUUGCUUUUUUUCCUUUUUAGAUCCUUUUCAUUAAAAAACUACUCUGGGAAGAGGAUUUUUUUUCCCCCU